UUAGCCUUCGCUCUCUCAGCCUUAGCCUUCGCUCUCUCAGCCAAAGCUCUCUCCCUCCGUUUAUCUUUCUUCUCUCUCUCGGACUCCCUCUCUCCGUUUAUCUCCUGCGAUUGUCGGCGGCGGAGUCCCCAAGUCCGGCGGAGCCAUUUCCAAGGGCUAUAACUUCGCUUCUCACUGGGAACAGAAUGCUCCUUUGACAGAGCAACAGCAAGCCGCCAUUGUGACUCUCUCUCAUGCCGUCGCCGAUCGGCCGUUUCCUCUCAAUUUGGCCAAAGACCGUGCCUCCGGGCAGGAGAAUGGCUUGUCCGUUUCCACGAAGGAGAACGCCUCGGGCUUCGAACACUCUGGAGCUGCAGAAGCCGUUCUCGUCAAUACAAAUCAGGUGAGUUUUCGGAUUUGUAAAUCUAAU